AUGACGAGGGAGGAAUUGAAGAAACACCUAAAGGACAAGGACAACAGCUUCACCAUCCGGUGCGACAUCGUGGUCAAAAAUCCGACGUGGAACACGUCUCCAUUCAUCCUAGUACCGCCGCCCGACAUGCCACGGAACAUCUCCGACUUCCUCCUCGCAGGGGAGGGCACCGACGUGGUCUGCCGUGUAGGUGAUGAGACGUUCGCUGCCCACCGAUGUGUUCUUGCGGCCCGCUCGACAGUCUUCAGGGCAGCGCUCUUCGGCCCGAUGAAAGAAGGCACGUCGUCCACAGCUGCCGUCGUGCAGAUAGAUGACAUGCAUGCAGCGGUGUUCAAGGCGUUGCUAGGGUUCAUCUACGGCGACUCGCUGCCAGUGCCGACACAGGAUGAGAAUGAGGGCGAUCUGCUGCAGCACCUGCUCGUCGCGGCGGAUCGAUAUGAUAUCCCGAGACUGAAGGCGAUGUGCGAGAAGAAUCUGUGCGAGCACAUCGACGUGAGCACGGUGGCAACCAUCCUGGCGCUCGCCGACCAGCACCGCUGCGAUGGUCUGAAACAGACGUGCUAUCAAUAUCCCCGCUGCCCGGCGAACCUGAGCGCGUUCGUGGCAACCGACGGCUUUGAUCAUCUCUACAGGAGCUGCCCCGCUCUUAUGAAGGACAUGAUGCUGGCCAUGCUGCCGCCUAAGUAG
rnacentral:rRNA from 1 species